AACGCACAUUGCGCCCGCCAGUAUUCUGGCGGGCAUGCCUGUUCGAGCGUCAUUUCAACCCUCAGGGCCCCCUUCUCGGGGGGGCAACCUGGUGUUGGAGGCCGGCCGCCGCACCUGGCGGCCGUCUCCCAAAUGAAUUAGCGGUCCUGCUAAGGCUUCCUUUGCGCAGUAGUGAAAACAUCUCGCUCUGGGGCGUAGCGGUGUCCACGCUUUCCGGCGGCUUGCCGCCACCAUUUUUCUCAUGGUUGACCUCGGAUCAGGUAGGAAUACCCGCUGAACUUAA
rnacentral:misc_RNA from 1 species